rnacentral:rRNA from 1 species
GAUGAACGCUGGCGGCGUGCCUAAUACAUGCAAGUCGAGCGAACGGACGAGAAGCUUGCUUCUCUGAUGUUGGCGGCGGACGGGUGAGUAACACGUGGAUAACCUACCUAUAAGACUGGGAUAACUUCGGGAAACCGGAGCUAAUACCGGAUAAUAUUUUGAACCGCAUGGUUCAAAAGUGAAAGACGGUCUUGCUGUCACUUAUAGAUGGAUCCGCGCUGCAUUAGCUAGUUGGUAAGGUAACGGCUUACCAAGGCAACGAUGCAUAGCCGACCUGAGAGGGUGAUCGGCCACACUGGAACUGAGACACGGUCCAGACUCCUACGGGAGGCAGCAGUAGGGAAUCUUCCGCAAUGGGCGAAAGCCUGACGGAGCAACGCCGCGUGAGUGAUGAAGGUCUUCGGAUCGUAAAACUCUGUUAUUAGGGAAGAACAUAUGUGUAAGUAACUGUGCACAUCUUGACGGUACCUAAUCAGAAAGCCACGGCUAACUACGUGCCAGCAGCCGCGGUAAUACGUAGGUGGCAAGCGUUAUCCGGAAUUAUUGGGCGUAAAGCGCGCGUAGGCGGUUUUUUAAGUCUGAUGUGAAAGCCCACGGCUCAACCGUGGAGGGUCAUUGGAAACUGGAAAACUUGAGUGCAGAAGAGGAAAGUGGAAUUCCAUGUGUAGCGGUGAAAUGCGCAGAGAUAUGGAGGAACACCAGUGGCGAAGGCGACUUUCUGGUCUGUAACUGACGCUGAUGUGCGAAAGCGUGGGGAUCAAACAGGAUUAGAUACCCUGGUAGUCCACGCCGUAAACGAUGAGUGCUAAGUGUUAGGGGGUUUCCGCCCCUUAGUGCUGCAGCUAACGCAUUAAGCACUCCGCCUGGGGAGUACGACCGCAAGGUUGAAACUCAAAGGAAUUGACGGGGACCCGCACAAGCGGUGGAGCAUGUGGUUUAAUUCGAAGCAACGCGAAGAACCUUACCAAAUCUUGACAUCCUUUGACAACUCUAGAGAUAGAGCCUUCCCCUUCGGGGGACAAAGUGACAGGUGGUGCAUGGUUGUCGUCAGCUCGUGUCGUGAGAUGUUGGGUUAAGUCCCGCAACGAGCGCAACCCUUAAGCUUAGUUGCCAUCAUUAAGUUGGGCACUCUAAGUUGACUGCCGGUGACAAACCGGAGGAAGGUGGGGAUGACGUCAAAUCAUCAUGCCCCUUAUGAUUUGGGCUACACACGUGCUACAAUGGACAAUACAAAGGGCAGCGAAACCGCGAGGUCAAGCAAAUCCCAUAAAGUUGUUCUCAGUUCGGAUUGUAGUCUGCAACUCGACUACAUGAAGCUGGAAUCGCUAGUAAUCGUAGAUCAGCAUGCUACGGUGAAUACGUUCCCGGGUCU